GCGGGCUCGAGGCCGACGCGACAAGCCUUCGUUGCCGCCGCCGCCGCCGCCACCGCCGCCACCGCUGUGAGAGGAGUCGCCGCGGCCGUCCCUGCCGCCCUCGCCGGCCACCAUGUCCGCCCAGGCGCAGAUGCGGGCCCUGUUGGACCAGCUCAUGGGCACGGCCCGGGACGGUUCAGUGUAUCUUUGCCUGCCUACAUCAAUCUGCAAGGGAGUUGCAGAAAAGCCUCAUGUUCAUCGAGCCGAGACGAAACCAGACAGAGGGUCAAGUUUACAGAUGACCGUGUCUGCAAGAGUCACCUUCUGGACUGCUGCCCUCAUGAUAUCCUGGCU